UGGUGGGUAGUUUGACUGGGGCGGUCUCCUCCUAAAGAGUAACGGAGGAGCACGAAGGUUGGCUAAUCCUGGUCGGACAUCAGGAGGUUAGUGCAAUGGCAUAAGCCAGCUUGACUGCGAGCGUGACGGCGCGAGCAGGUGCGAAAGCAGGUCAUAGUGAUCCGGUGGUUCUGAAUGGAAGGGCCAUCGCUCAACGGAUAAAAGGUACUCCGGGGAUAACAGGCUGAUACCGCCCAAGAGUUCAUAUCGACGGCGGUGUUUGGCACCUCGAUGUCGGCUCAUCACAUCCUGGGGCUGAAGUAGGUCCCAAGGGUAUGGCUGUUCGCCAUUUAAAGUGGUACGCGAGCUGGGUUUAGAACGUCGUGAGACAGUUCGGUCCCUAUCUGCCGUGGGCGCUGGAGAACUGAGGGGGGCUGCUCCUAGUACGAGAGGACCGGAGUGGACGCAUCACUGGUGUUCGGGUUGUCAUGCCAAUGGCACUGCCCGGUAGCUAAAUGCGGAAGAGAUAAGUGCUGAAAGCAUCUAAGCACGAAACUUGCCCCGAGAUGAGUUCUCCCUGAGACUUUAGGUCUCCUGAAGGAACGUUGAAGACGACGACGUUGAUAGGCCGGGUGUGUAAGCGCAGCGAUGCGUUGAGCUAACCGGUACUAAUGAACCGUGAGGCUUAACCUUACAACGCCGAAG
rnacentral:rRNA from 28 species